rnacentral:rRNA from 1 species
AUUGAACGCUGGCGGCAUGCUUUACACAUGCAAGUCGGACGGCAGCACAGAGAAGCUUGCUUCUUGGGUGGCGAGUGGCGAACGGGUGAGUAACAUAUCGGAACGUACCGAGCAGUGGGGGAUAGCUAAUCGAAAGAUUAGCUAAUACCGCAUAUUUUCUGAGGAAGAAAGCAGGGGACCAUUUGGCCUUGCGCUGUUUGAGCGGCCGAUAUCUGAUUAGCUAGUUGGUGGGGUAAAGGCCUACCAAGGCGACGAUCAGUAGCGGGUCUGAGAGGAUGAUCCGCCACACUGGGACUGAGACACGGCCCAGACUCCUACGGGAGGCAGCAGUGGGGAAUUUUGGACAAUGGGCGCAAGCCUGAUCCAGCCAUGCCGCGUGUCUGAAGAAGGCCUUCGGGUUGUAAAGGACUUUUGUCAGGGAAGAAAAGGGCGGGGUUAAUACCCCUGUCUGAUGACGGUACCUGAAGAAUAAGCACCGGCUAACUACGUGCCAGCAGCCGCGGUAAUACGUAGGGUGCGAGCGUUAAUCGGAAUUACUGGGCGUAAAGCGGGCGCAGACGGUUACUUAAGCAGGAUGUGAAAUCCCCGGGCUCAACCUGGGAACUGCGUUCUGAACUGGGUGACUAGAGUGUGUCAGAGGGAGGUAGAAUUCCACGUGUAGCAGUGAAAUGCGUAGAGAUGUGGAGGAAUACCGAUGGCGAAGGCAGCCUCCUGGGAUAACACUGACGUUCAUGCCCGAAAGCGUGGGUAGCAAACAGG